rnacentral:rRNA from 1 species
UGGGGAAUUUUGGACAAUGGGGGCAACCCUGAUCCAGCAAUGCCGCGUGAGUGAAGAAGGCCUUCGGGUUGUAAAGCUCUUUUGUCAGGGAAGAAACGGUAGUAGCGAAUAACUAUUACUAAUGACGGUACCUGAAGAAUAAGCACCGGCUAACUACGUGCCAGCAGCCGCGGUAAUACGUAGGGUGCAAGCGUUAAUCGGAAUUACUGGGCGUAAAGCGUGCGCAGGCGGUUGUGUAAGUCAGAUGUGAAAUCCCCGGGCUCAACCUGGGAAUUGCAUUUGAGACUGCACGGCUAGAGUGUAGCAGAGGGGGGUAGAAUUCCACGUGUAGCAGUGAAAUGCGUAGAUAUGUGGAGGAAUACCGAUGGCGAAGGCAGCCCCCUGGGCUAACACUGACGCUCAUGCACGAAAGCGUGGGGAGCAAACAGGAUUAGAUACCCCCGUAGUCCCUGAGCGGGCUGGCAAGGCGCAU